AUUGAACGCUGGCGGCAUGCUUUACACAUGCAAGUCGAACGGCAGCACGGGCUUCGGCCUGGUGUCGAGUGGCGAACGGGUGAGUAAUAUAUCGGAACGUACCCAGAAGUGGGGGAUAACGUAGCGAAAGUUACGCUAAUACCGCAUACGAUCUAUAGAUGAAAGCAGGGGACCGCAAGGCCUUGUGCUCCUGUAGCGGCCGAUAGCUGAUUAGCUCGUUGGUGAGGUAAAGGCUCACCAAGGCGACGAUCAGUAGCUGGUCUGAGAGGACGACCAGCCACACUGGAACUGAGACACGGUCCAGACUCCUACGGGAGGCAGCAGUGGGGAAUGUUGGACAAUGGGCGCAAGCCUGAUCCAGCACAGCCGCGUGAGUGAAGAAGGCCUUCGGGUUGUAGAGCUCUUCUGUCAGGGAAGAAAAGGUAGAGGCUAAUAUCCUUUGCUAAUGACGGUACCUGAAGAAUAAGCACCGGCUAACUACGUG
rnacentral:rRNA from 1 species